UACGUAGGGUGCAAGCGUUAAUCGGAAUUACUGGGCGUAAAGCGUGCGCAGGCGGUUCGGAAAGAGAGGUGUGAAAUCCCAGGGCUUAACCUUGGAACUGCACUUCUAACUACCGGGCUAGAGUACGUCAGAGGGGGGUAGAAUUCCACGUGUAGCAGUGAAAUGCGUAGAGAUGUGGAGGAAUACCGAUGGCGAAGGCAGCCCCCUGGGAUGAUACUGACGCUCAUGCACGAAAGCGUGGGGAGCGAACCGG
rnacentral:rRNA from 1 species